rnacentral:lncRNA from 1 species
UGGGGAAAAACACAUGAACUAGACUCUAGCAAGGCCUAACCAGCAACAAGACAUCGACUAGGACACAAACUCAACACUGCAGACUCUAAGACUGAAAUAUGCAAAGGCUAUGGCUUGAAAGGUUUGUAGGACAGGAAAACGAUAUGACACUGGACUUAUAGGACGAACACAAGAACACUCAAAACUAAGGAUAGAUGUGAAUCUAACGGUAUACCUAAAGCUUUGAUUACCACUUGAUGAGAACAAGGGUGGCCUGAUCUUCCGAAAGGUUCUAGUAACUCUCGAUUUGGUGGAGACGAGACACAAAUCGAUUUGGCUUUCGAACAACACGAUCCGAAACCCUGCAUUUUUUUAUUUUUUUUAUAUUUUUCUUUUACCUAGGAGCACUAAAAAGUAACCACAAAAAAUUUGUGCUUAAACAAGUGAAAGACGUGGCCUGCAGAAUUUUCUAAAGAUUGCGAAAAAUGUGAAAAAAACUUCAUGAGGAGAAAACUCAAACUUUGGAGGCAAAUUUCAAGAUAAAAUUAUCAAACCCGCUAAAGUCACAGACAGACAGAUCUGAAAUUUUUUUAUGAUCGAAUUUGAUAUAGGUAACGUUGAAAUCAGAGUUUGUAUGUGAAAGUUAUGGUUUGUUUACAAAUGCACUUCGAAAUACAGGAAAAAACGGUCCAGAAGUGGGAAAAAUUUGCGGCGCUGGCUAGAAAUUGAUGGAAACGGUGGGGAAAACACACGAACUGGACUCUAACAAGACCUAACCAGCAACAAGACCUCGACCAGGACACAAACUCAACACUGCGGACUCUGAAACUGAAAUAUGCAAAGGUUAUGGCGCGGAAGGGAUGUAGGACAGGAAAACGAUAUGGCACUGGACUUAUGGGACGAACACAAGAACACUCAAAACUAAGGGUAGACAUGAACCUAACGGUAUACCUGAAGCUUUGAUUACCACUUGAUGAGAACAAGGGUGGCCCGAUCUUUCGAAAGGUUCUGGUAACUCUUGAUUUAGUGGAGACGAGACACAAAUCGAUCCGGCUUCGGAACAACACGAUCCGAAACCCUGCAAUUUUUUUUAUUUUUUUGAUAUUUUAUUUUACUUAGGAGCACUAAAGAAGUAACCACAAAAAAUUUGAGCUUAAACAAGUGAAACACAUGGCCUGCGGAAUUUUCUGAAGAUUGCGAAAAAUAUGAAAAAAACUUCACGAGGUUAAAACUCAAACUUCGGAGGCGAAUUUGGAGAUUCUAAAAUUUUCAAGCCCGCUAGUACUAGGGACAGGCAGAUCCAAAAAUUUUUCUGAUCGAUUUUGAUAUAUAGAACGUUGAAUUCAGAGUUCGUAUGCGAAAGUUGUAGCUGUUUUAUGAACAGACUCCAAAUUAGAGGACAAAAUGGUCCGAAAGUGGGAAAAAUUUGUGGCGGUGGCUAGAAAUUGAUAGAAACGGUGGGAAAAACACACGAACUGGACUCUAACAAGACCUAACCAGCAACAAGACCUCAACUAGGACACAAACUCAACACCGCGGACUCUAAAACUGAAAUAUGCAAAGGCUAUGGCGCGGAAGGGUUGUAGGACAGGAAAACAAUAUGGCACUAUACUUAUGGGACAAACACAAGAACACUCGAAACUAAGAGUAGAUGUGAACCUAACGGUAUACCUAAAGCUUUGAUUACCACUUGAUGAGAAGAAGGGUGGCCCGAUCUUCCGAAAGGUUCUAGUAACUCUCGAUUUGGUGGAGACGAGACACAAAUCGAUCCGGCUUGCGAACAACACGAUCCGAAACCCUGCAAUUUUAUUUUAUUUUUUCGAUAUUUUUCUUUUACUUAGGAGCACUGAAUAAGUAACCAUAGAAAAUUUGAGCUUAAACAAGUGAAAUACGUGGCCUGCGGAAUUUUUUGAAGAUUGCAAAAAAUGUGAAAAAACAUCACGAGGUGAAAACUCAAACUUCGGAGGCAAAUUUAUAGAUUCUAAAAUUUUCAAACCUGCCAAUGGAAGGAACAGACAGAUCAAAAAAAAAUUUUUAGAUCGAUUUUGCUAUAUGGAACGUUGAAAUCGGAGUUCAUAUGUGAAAGUUAUGGUUGUUUUAAUAACGGACUCCGAAUUAGAGGACAAAACGGUGCGAAAGUGGGAAAAAAUUUCGGCAGUGGCUAGAAAUUGAUGGAAACGGUGGGGAAAAACACACGAACUGGACUCUAACAAGACCUAACCAGCAACAAGACAUCGACUAGGACACAAACUCAACACUGCGGACUCUAAGACUAAAAUAUGCAAAGGCUAUGGCUUGAAAGGUUUGUAGGACAGGAAAACGAUAUGACACUGGACUUAUGGGACGAACACAAGAACACUCAAAACUAAGGAUAGAUGUGAAUCUAACGAUAUACCUAAAGCUUUGAUUACCACUUGAUGAGAACAAGGGUGGCCUGAUCUUCCGAAAGGUUCUAGUAACUCUCGAUUUGGUGGAGACGAGACACAAAUCGAUUUGGCUUUCGAACAACCCGAUCCGAAACCCUGCAUUUUUUUUAUUUUUUUUAUAUUUUUCUUUUACCUAGGAGCACUAAAAAGUAACCACAAAAAAUUUGUGCUUAAACAAGUGAAAGACGUGGCCUGCAGAAUUUUCUGAAGAUUGCGAAAAAUGUGAAAAAACUUCAUGAGGAGAAAACUCAAACUUUGGAGGCAAAUUUUAAGAUAAAAUUAUCGAACCCGCUAAAGUCACAUACAGACAGAUCUGAAAUUUUUUUAUGAUCGAAUUUGAUAUAGGUAACGUUGAAAUCAGAGUUUGUAUGUGAAAGUUAUGGUUUGUUUACAAAUGCACUCCGAAAUAGAGGAAAAACGGUCCAGAAGUGGGAAAAAUUUGCGGCGCUGGCUAGAAAUUGAUGAAAAUAGUGGGGAAAAACACACGAACAGGACUCUAACAAGACCCAACCAGCAACAAGACCUCGACCAGGACACAAACUCAACACUGCGGACUCUGAAACUGAAAUAUGCAAAAGCUACGGCGCGGAAGGGAUGUAGGACAAGAAAACGAUAUGGCACUAGACUUAUGGGACGAACACAAGAACACUCGAAACUAAGGGUAGAUGUGAACCUAACGGUAUACCUGAAGCUUUGAUUACCACUUGAUGAGAACAAGGGUGGCCCGAUCUUCCGAAAGGUUCUGGUAACUCUCGAUUUAGUGGAGACGAGACACAAAUCGAUCCGGCUUCAGAACAACACGAUCCAAAACCCUACAAUUUUUUUUAUUUUUUUUGAUAUUUUAUUUUACUUAGGAGCACUAAAGAAGUAACCACGGAAAAUUUGAGCUUAAACAAGUGAAAGACAUGGCCUGCGGAAUUUUCUGAAGAUUGCGAAAAAUGUGAAAAAAACUUCACGAGGUUAAAACUCAAACUUCGGAGGCGAAUUUGGAGAUUCUAAAAUUUUCAAGCCCGCUAGUACUAGGGACAGGCAGAUCCAAAAAUUUUUCUGAUCGAUUUUGAUAUAUAGAACGUUGAAAUCAGAGUUCGUUGCGAAAGUUGUGGCUGUUUUAUGAACAGACUCCAAAUUAGAGGACAAAACGGUCUGAAAGUGGGAAAAAAUUGUGGCGGUGGCUAGAAAUUGAUGGAAACGGUGGGAAAAAACACACGAACUAGACUCUAACAAGACCUAACCAGCAACAAGACCUCAACUAGGACACAAACUCAACACCGCGGACUCUGAAACUGAAAUAUGAAAAGGCUAUGGCACGGAAGGGUUGUAGAACAGGAAAACAAUAUGGCACUAUACUUAUGGGACAAACACAAGAACACUCAAAACUAAGAGUAGAUGUGAACCUAACGGUAUACCUAAAGCUUUGAUUACCACUUGAUGAGAACAAGGGUGACCCGAUCUUCCGAAAGGUUCUAGUAACUCUCGAUUUGGUGGAGACGAGACACAAAUCGAUUUGGCUUUCGAACAACACGAUCCGAAACCCUGCAUUUUUUUAUUUUUUUUAUAUUUUUCUUUUACCUAGGAGCACUAAAAAGUAACCACAAAAAAUUUGUGCUUAAACAAGUGAAAGACGUGGCCUGCAGAAUUUUCUAAAGAUUGCGAAAAAUGUGAAAAAACUUCAUGAGGAGAAAACUCAAACUUUGGAGGCAAAUUUCAAGAUAAAAUUAUCAAACCCGCUAAAGUCACAGACAGACAGAUCUGAAAUUUUUUUAUGCUCGAAUUUGAUAUAGGUAACGUUGAAAUCAGAGUUUGUAUGUGAAAGUUAUGGUUUGUUUACAAAUGCACUUCGAAAUACAGGAAAAAACGGUCCACAAGUGGGAAAAAUUUGCGGCGCUGGCUAGAAAUUGAUGGAAACGGUGGGGAAAACACACGAACUGGACUCUAACAAGACCUAACCAGCAACAAGACCUCGACCAGGACACAAACUCAACACUGCGGACUCUGAAACUGAAAUAUGCAAAGGUUAUGGCGCGGAAGGGAUGUAGGACAAGAAAACGAUAUGGCACUGGACUUAUGGGACGAACACAAGAACACUCAAAACUAAGGGUAGACGUGAACCUAACGGUAUACCUGAAGCUUUGAUUACCACUUGAUGAGAACAAGGGUGGCCCGAUCUUUCGAAAGGUUCUGGUAACUCUCGAUUUAGUGGAGACGAGAUACAAAUCGAUCCGGCUUCGGAACAACACGAUCCGAAACCCUGCAAUUUUUUUUAUUUUUUUGAUAUUUUAUUUUACUUAGGAGCACUAAAGAAGUAACCACAAAAAAUUUGAGCUUAAACAAGUGAAAGACAUGGCCUGCGGAAUUUUCUGAAGAUUGCGAAAAAUAUGAAAAAAACUUCACGAGGUUAAAACUCAAACUUCGGAGGCGAAUUUGGAGAUUCUAAAAUUUUCAAGCCCGCUAGUACUAGGGACAGGCAGAUCCAAAAAUUUUUCUGAUCGAUUUUGAUAUAUAGAACGUUGAAUUCAGAGUUCGUAUGCGAAAGUUGUAGCUGUUUUAUGAACAGACUCCAAAUUAGAGGACAAAAUGGUCUGAAAGUGGGAAAAAUUUGUGGCGGUGGCUAGAAAUUGAUAGAAACGGUGGGAAAAACACACGAACUGGACUCUAACAAGACCUAACCAGCAACAAGACCUCAACUAGGACACAAACUCAACACCGCGGACUCUAAAACUGAAAUAUGCAAAGGCUAUGGCGCGGAAGGGUUGUAGGACAGGAAAACAAUAUGGCACUAUACUUAUGGGACAAACACAAGAACACUCGAAACUAAGAGUAGAUGUGAAC